AACCCAGACAUGUGGCACUGAGUCAUUCUAAUCGAGGCGGACUCCAAAAGAAGUUCUAUUGACUCAUCUUCCAGUCAUCUUCUCCAGCUCUCGCUUUGGGAAAGUCAGUCCAGGACCACACUGUGGCACACACAUCUAAUUACCAAGCCUCCUGCCCUGCCCCCAGCCCCAGCCUCUGCACAAGACAUAGUCCCCUACAUCAGUGGUCCCCAACCCCUGGGACAUGGUCUGAUACAGGUUCAUGGCCUAUAAGGAACUGGGCCACACAGCAGUAGGCCUGACAAUGAACUAAAGAAAUUGAACCUUUCUGGAGUGUCAUGAAAUAUUAGGCUUUCUAUUCAGGAAAACAAGGGACACUGACUUCACCUCCCAGCUGCAUUCAGCCUAGAUCAGAGCUUCCUGACUGCCAUGGAAUGAGCAGAUGUCCUCCACCUAGGCCUUUCCACCACGCCAUUUCUGCCUUGGAGCCAGUUGACCAUAGACUGAAAACAUGAGCCAAAAUAAACCUCCCCUUUAAAUUGUAGGUGUUGGGUAUUUUGCUCCAGCAAUGGGGAAAGUGACUUAGACAACUCAAUAGGGC